rnacentral:rRNA from 1 species
CCUACGGGAGGCAGCAGUGAGGAAUAUUGGUCAAUGGGCGGGAGCCUGAACCAGCCAAGUAGCGUGCAGGAUGACGGCCCUACGGGUUGUAAACUGCUUUUAUACGGGAAUAACGCGCCUUACGUGUAGGGCUUUGUAUGUACCUUAUGAAUAAGGAUCGGCUAAUUCCGUGCCAGCAGCCGCGGUAAUACGGAGGGUCCGGGCGUUAUCCGGAUUUAUUGGGUUUAAAGGGAGCGUAGGUGGCGUGUGAAGUGUGAUGUGAAAGUUUGGGGCUCAACCGGAGACUUGCAAUGGAUACUGGCAUGCUUGAGUACAGGGAAGGCAGGCGGAAUUCGUGGUGUAGCGGUGAAAUGCUUAGAUAUGACGAAGAACCCCGAUUGCGAAGGCAGCUUGCUACAGCGGAACUGACGCUGAUGCUCGAAAGUGUGGGUAUCGAACAGGAUUAGAUACCCGAGUAGUC